rnacentral:rRNA from 1 species
CAGGACGAACGCUGGCGGCGUGUCUAACACAUGCAAGUCGAGCGAGGAGAUCCUCGGGAUGAUCCUAGCGGCGGACGGGUGAGUAACACGUGGGCAACCUGCCUCAUAGAGAGGAAUAGCCUUCCGAAAGGGAGAUUAAUACCUCAUAACAUUGCAGUUUCGCAUGAAACAGCAAUUAAAGGAGCAAUCCGCUAUGAGAUGGGCCCGCGGCGCAUUAGCUAGUUGGUGAGGUAACGGCUCACCAAGGCGACGAUGCGUAGCCGACCUGAGAGGGUGAUCGGCCACAUUGGGACUGAGACACGGCCCAGACUCCUACGGGAGGCAGCAGUGGGGAAUAUUGCACAAUGGGGGAAACCCUGAUGCAAGCAACGCCGCGUGAGUGAUGACGGCCUUCGGGUUGUAAAGCUCUGUCUUCAGGGACGAUAAUGACGGUACCUGAGGAGGAAGCCACGGCUAACUACGUGCCAGCCGCUGC